AUUGAACGCUGGCGGAAUGCUUUACACAUGCAAGUCGAACGACAGCACGGGGGCAACCCUGGUGGCGAGUGGCGAACGGGUGAGUAAUACAUCGGAACGUGCCCGGUCGUGGGGGAUAACGUAGCGAAAGUUACGCUAAUACCGCAUACGAUCUGAGGAUGAAAGCGGGGGACCUUCGGGCCUCGCGCGAUCGGAGCGGCCGAUGUCAGAUUAGGUAGUUGGUGGGGUAAAGGCCUACCAAGCCGACGAUCGGUAGCUGGUCUGAGAGGACGACCAGCCACACUGGGACUGAGACACGGCCCAGACUCCUACGGGAGGCAGCAGUGGGGAAUUUUGGACAAUGGGCGCAAGCCUGAUCCAGCCAUUCCGCGUGCAGGACGAAGGCCUUCGGGUUGUAAACUGCUUUUGUAUGGAACGAAAAGGCUCUGGCUAAUACCUGGGGCUCAUGACGGUACCGUAAGAAUAAGCACCGGCUAACUACGUG
rnacentral:rRNA from 1 species